rnacentral:rRNA from 1 species
UACGUAGGGGGCAAGCGUUGUCCGGAAUCAUUGGGCGUAAAGAGCGUGUAGGCGGCCCGAUAAGUCCGCUGUGAAAGUCCAAGGGCUCAACCCUGGAAUGCCAGUGGAAACUGUCGGGCUAGAGUCCGGAAGAGGCGAGUGGAAUUCCUGGUGUAGCGGUGAAAUGCGCAGAUAUCAGGAGGAACACCGAUGGCGAAGGCAGCUCGCUGGGACGGUACUGACGCUGAGACGCGAAAGCGUGGGGAGCAAACAGG